GGGCACGUGCUGGUGAACACUACCUUAGUUCUGGUAGAUUAGGUUUGUCUCAAGAUGAUAUCUCAUUACUGGGCCAAUAUAAUUGCUACCAGAAAGAUCUACCAGGGUCAGAGACUUGAUGUACAUAAUUUAGAGAUGGACCCUCCACCACCUAAUGAAAUGGGAGAGGGAGGCAAUGUAUAAUCAAUUGUUGUUUAUGGUAAUGGCCUCGGCCAGGCAGUAGUUAGUUUGCCUGAACCCGUGGACGUCAAAGAUAACGGUUAGGAAUAGGCACACUUAAUUUAC
rnacentral:misc_RNA from 1 species